rnacentral:rRNA from 1 species
AACGAACGCUGGCGGCAGGCUUAACACAUGCAAGUCGAGCGCCCCGCAAGGGGAGCGGCAGACGGGUGAGUAACGCGAGGGAAUCUACCCAUCUCUACGGAAUAGCGCAUGGAAACGUGUGCUAAUACCGUAUACGUCCUUCGGGAGAAAGAUUUAUAGGAGAUGGAUGAGCCCGCGUUGGAUUAGCUAGUUGGUGGGGUAAAGGCCUACCAAGGCGACGAUCCAUAGCCGGUCUGAGAGGAUGAUCAGCCACACUGGGACUGAGACACGGCCCAGACUCCUACGGGAGGCAGCAGUGGGGAAUAUUGGACAAUGGGCGCAAGCCUGAUCCAGCCAUGCCGCGUGAGUGAUGAAGGCCCUAGGGUUGUAAAGCUCUUUCACCGGUGAAGAUAAUGACGGUAACCGGAGAAGAAGCCCCGGCUAACUUCGUGCCAGCCGCCGCAGUAACAC